rnacentral:tRNA from 1 species
GGGCACAUAGUGUAGUUGGUUAUCGCGUCCGCUUUGCAUUCUUGUGAAUUGCGGAAGGUGCUGGGUUCAAUUCCCAGUGUGUCCA